CAUUGAAUCUAGUCUCAUACAUAUUCUUGGUGGCUCAAAUAGGGCUUUUCUCUCCAAAAUCUAGAGUGUUAGGCUUUUGAAAAGAACACAUGCUAAUAAUUACUCCAAGCUGGUUAGAGAUAAUGGGCAACAGAAAAGUUAUUAUCUUCAAUGUCAUCCUAUGUCUUUGAUAUGAUAAUCAUUGCGUUCAAGGUAUCAGAAAUGAUGGAUGGCCUUUGAUUCCGAGCGUACCAUGAUGCAAAUUACCUGGCUCUUUCUCACUCCUGCUUGGAAGGUGAAGAGCUAGUGGGCACUCCUAGCUUCAGGGCCUCCAGCCACUAGACAGCAAAAUCUGUGACAAAGCUCAAAGAGAAACACUUCCUCUUUAAAGAUACCUAGGGCUACCUUCCCUUUUCCUUUUCAUCUAGAACAACCUCGCACAUAGUUCUAAUUUGCAGCUAUUGCUGUAACAUGCACUAUUUACUACCUAAGUCAUUUUACCCUGUUAACCUUCUGGGUAACAGCAGAUGACGUAAGCGCCGCAUUGUUUCUAAGGAGGCUCCCUGAGUUCCUUCUAUAAACAUAAAAUGACGAUUCCAGGAAAUGUUAGUAAGAAAGGAGAGAUGAAAGAGCGUGGUAUACACAUAUUUUAAAACUGCUACAAGUUCUGGUUAAGGCUUACAGUCUAUAACCCAGCACAUUUCCCCUAAAAUUAGUCUUUAUCAUCCUCCGUACUCUCACGGCCCAUCUAUCACGGAAAGAAAACACAUUAUAUUCUUCAGUCAUCCAUGGGAAUGGAGUAACACCACGAUCCAAAAUAUACCAAUGGAAUCAUUCUUUUGUGACUUGCUUUCUCCAUCGAACAUCGUGUUUAAGAAUCAUCAGUGUGGGGUUUCCCUGGUGGCGCAGUGGUUGAGAGUCUGCCUGCAGAUGCAGGGGACGCGGGUUCGUGCCCCGGUCUAGGAAGAUCCCACACGCCGCGGAGCGGCUGGGCCCGUGAGCCAUGGCCGCUGAGCCUGCGCGUCCGGAGCCUGUGCUCCGCAACAGGAGAGGCCACAACAGUGAGAGGCCCGCGUAGCGCAAAAAAAAAAAGAAUCAUCAGUGUGGAUGCAUGUAGCUGUAGUUGAGUCUUUUUUAUAAAAGCUGUGUAGUGUUCUGUGAUACUCCUCCACUCUAAUGUUGAUGGCCAUUGUUGUCAUUUUCAGGUUUUUGCUAUUACACUAUGCUUUUACGAACACUCUCACGAGUCUCCUGGUACAAAGCUGCAAA
rnacentral:lncRNA from 1 species